UACGUAGGGUCCGAGCGUUGUCCGGAAUUACUGGGCGUAAAGAGCUCGUAGGUGGUUUGUCGCGUUGUUCGUGAAAACCUCACAGCUCAACUGUGGGCGUGCGGGCGAUACGGGCAGACUAGAGUACUGCAGGGGAGACUGGAAUUCCUGGUGUAGCGGUGGAAUGCGCAGAUAUCAGGAGGAACACCGGUGGCGAAGGCGGGUCUCUGGGCAGUAACUGACGCUGAGGAGCGAAAGCGUGGGGAGCGAACAGG
rnacentral:rRNA from 1 species